CAGAGUUUCUAUUUUGUGUGAUGGAAAAGUCCCACAAAUAAACACUAGUAUCAGGACAUAAUAUCAUGAAUAAUAAAUCAUAUCAUAAAUGUAGUUACUGAAUGAAUACUGUGAAUGCAGUCAAUGAAUACCACAAAUGUAAAAGUCCUACUUAUUUAGAAUUCAAAAGGUUGGCACUCUGACACCACAUUCUGUGCACUCAAAGCUUUUAGCUGUAUAGGUUUGCAGAGCAAACAAAUGGCAAAUGGGAUCAUAAGGUCUUUCUAAAUCAAGGGAGCAAGCAAACGUGUCUCAAUUAGACACGUGAAUAUAUAUAGCCUAUAUCGUCAUUUUCUGAAAUCAAACACUAUCCUACCUUCUUUACCUAGAUGAGUUGAUCUGCACGGAGGCAUUUUUGUUUCAUGGCUCUCUUAGGCAUAGUAACUAAAACUUAAAACGUAACUUUGGCUCUCACAAAGGAUUAGAAGGAGGUUUUUUUGCUAAUGUGAAGAAUGAGUUUUGUCUUCAACUAUGAGAAUGCUCUUUGGAGGUGGAGGUUUUGCCUUUACUUUUCUCACAUAUGUUGGGCUGUUGAGUGUCCUUGUAUAAGUAAACACAUAAGCAUACAUCCUGAAUGGUCUCAUUUACGUGACAUGAGUGUGUGCACAUAUGUGGAAGUGAGUGCUCUGUACGUUCCAUGCUGUGAAUGGAGUCCACCAGGCUCAGCUAGUGCAAGCAGUACCUGUUUAUGUAACAUCUUCCCUCUGUAGAUAAGGGUUGAAUUUGACUCCUCCUCCCCCUCCUCUCUCUCUUCCUCCCCCUCCCCCUCCUCCUCCUCUGUUUUUGAGACAGGCUUUCUCUCUGAGUCUACUUGUCUUGUUUCUGUAGGAAAUGUGAGUGAAUAGGCACUCCCCGACUGGCAGUGCUGCUGUGGGAAGCUGUGGAACUUUCGGAAGUGGAACCUGGCUGGCAGAAGUAGGGUGCUUGGGGGCAUGACUUGAAGGUUACACUUCUUCCCGGUCUGUGUCUCCUCCCUCUGCUUCUUGAUGUUCUUCCCAAGUUCAUGGAGUCCAGCAGCCAUGGAACCCUCAGAAACUGUGAGCCAAAAGCUUUCUUGAUGGGGAGAAUUCCUCUUCUUGUUCACUGGAGUCAUUGUUAGAACCCUGUUCCUUUCUGGACAGUAGCUGCAGACAGUUCAAAGCUUUCAGAGAAUGCACACACUCAAUGCCAGUACCAAUCCCUGAUUGACAAGACUUCUGAGCCCCACUCCUGCCCAAUCGGGAGUUCAACCCCCAUCUGAAUCCAGAAUUCCCCUACCUCGAAUCCUUUACUCUUUAAAAACCCUGCCAUAACUGAGUUCAGGGCUCUCCUUGAUCCAACCGCUGUGUUGGAACAGACAGAGAGCCCAAGCUCGAGCUCGCAAUAAAGGCUCUUUGCUUUUGUUUAUGAA